UACGUAGGGUGCAAGCGUUGUCCGGAAUUAUUGGGCGUAAAGAGCUCGUAGGCGGUUUGUUGCGUCGGCUGUGAAAUCCCGAGGCUCAACCUCGGGUCUGCAGUCGAUACGAGCAAACUAGAGUGUUGCAGGGGAGAGUGGAAUUCCUGGUGUAGCGGUGAAAUGCGCAGAUAUCAGGAAGAACACCUAUGGCGAAGGCAGCUCUCUGGGACGGUACUGACGCUGAGACGCGAAAGCGUGGGGAGCGAACAGG
rnacentral:rRNA from 1 species